rnacentral:lncRNA from 1 species
AUUACAUGUUGCUUCAUUUUACCAUAAAUUGUGUUAAAAAAGUGAUUUGCUCAUUUGGCUGAUGUUACAGUGUUCUGGUGUGUUUUGUUUGGAUAUUAGAACAAUUUCAAUAUGAAAGUGCAGGUGUCUUUAGACAUGAGCCAUAAUGUAUAUAUCAAAAUACUGAUAAAAUCUGUUUCCAGCUUGAUUGUAUUUGCAUUUGUUGUACUUGCGUUGUUGCAGACAAAGUUGUGCAAUGGUGGGCUUAUGUCACAUACUCGUAUGUAAUUCCAUGUGCCUGCAUGUACAGUACUUUGAUGCCUCAAGAGUUGCUUGGAAUGUGUAAUAAAGGGCUGUUCGCAGAAGUUGGGCUGUCUGGCCUUAAAUUGCAUUGUUUUUAUGAUAUUUUAAGAUUGUGUUUAUUUGGCUGGACCAUCUUGCCAUUGCCACAAUGUCUGAUGUUCAAACAGGCUUUAAAAUCAGGUUACAAUGCAUGCUUGAAAAUAUGCAACAAUUUCACUGCUAAUAUUCCAGAAAAUCCUGCCUCUUGGGCAGAUCUGGACUGAUUUGUCAG